GGCAGAGUGGCCGAGUGGUUAAGGCGCUGUGUUUAGGCCCUAUUUAGCUUAAAUUCCCGCAGUGGGAAACCGCGUGGGUUGUCAGUAAUCCUCUGAUGCCUACAAUUUUGAUCUUAAUCUAACUUCUUAACAGCGAAUCCCACCUCUGUCA
rnacentral:tRNA from 1 species